ensembl:rRNA 5S_rRNA 5S ribosomal RNA
AUCUAUGGCCAUACCACCUUGAAUGCGCCCGAUCUGAUCUUGGAAGCUAAGCAGGGUCGGGCCUGGUUAGUACUUGGAUUGGAGAACAUAGCUUGAAAAACAUGGAUU